AUUUUAUUAGUAUAAUUGAGUAUAUUUGUUUUCCAAACAAAAAGUUUAAUAAAAUAAGUUAAAUAAAAUA
rnacentral:tRNA from 1 species